AUCAGCCUUUCGGGUGCGAUUCUGUGGGGUUUGAGGAGCUUAACACCUUCAUGCUUUGCAUAUUCGUGCUCUUGGGUGUACUUGCCCGUGUGGUUGGUUAACAUCAAUUUUGGUGGUCAAAAAAUGACUGGAGGAAUGUAGCUUCGAUCUUGUAUUGAAGUGUUAUAGCCUUCGGUAGAUGUGAUGAUCGAGAUUGAGGAUUGCAACGGAUACCCUUCGGGGCUAUCUGUCUGAUCUCUGAUCGUUGUUCUGGUGCCGAAAGCUUGCUUACGGUUACCAAAGUCGAUGGUCAAUAGGUUAGAACGGGUUAAAUUCGUUAAGGAUGUUGACGUAAUGGCUUU
rnacentral:rRNA from 1 species